rnacentral:rRNA from 1 species
CUAGCUUGCUAGGUGGAUUAGUGGCGCACGGGUGAGUAACGCAUAGAUGACAUGCCCUUUAGUUUGGGAUAGCCACUAGAAAUGGUGAUUAAUACCAAAUACCACCCUACGGGGGAAAGAUUUAUCGCUAAAGGAUUGGUCUAUGUCCUAUCAGCUUGUUGGCGGGGUAAGAGCCCACCAAGGCAAUGACGGGUAUCCGGCCUGAGAGGGUGAACGGACACACUGGAACUGAGACACGGUCCAGACUCCUACGGGAGGCAGCAGUAGGGAAUAUUGCUCAAU